AUCCGGAAACGGGUGCUAAUACCGCAUAGUUUCUUGAUCGCAUGAUCGGGAAAGGAAAGACGGCCUUUGUGCUGUCGCUUAUGGAUGGACCCCGCGGCGUAUUAGUUAGUUGGUGAGGUAACGGCUCACCGAAGACGAUGAUACGUAGCCGACCUGAGAGGGUGAUCGGCCACAUUGGGACUGAGACACGGCCCAAACUCCUACGGGAGGCAGCAGUAGGGAAUCUUCCGCAAUGGACGAAAGUCUGACGGAGCAACGCCGCGUGAGUGAAAAGAAGGUUUUUCGGAUCGUAAAACUCUGUUGUCAGAGAAGAACAAGUUGGAGAGUAACUGCUCCAGCCUUGACGGUAUCUGACCAGAAAGCCACGGCUAACUACGUGCCAGCCGCCGC
rnacentral:rRNA from 1 species